GCUUUCGGUCGUAAACUCUGUNUGAGAGAAUGUNGCAGAGUACUGUGUNGCGUGACGGUAUCNACCAGAAAGCCACGGCUANUACGUGCCAGCAGCCGCGGUAAUACGUAGGUGGCAAGCGUUAUCCGGAUUUAUUGGGCGUAAAGCGAGCGCAGGCGGUUUUUUAAGUCUGAUGUGAAAGCCCUCGGCUUAACCGAGGAAGCGCAUCGGAAACUGGGAAACUUGAGUGCAGAAGAGGACAGUGGAACUCCAUGUGUAGCGGUGAAAUGCGUAGAUAUAUGGAAGAACACCAGUGGCGAAGGCGGCUGUCUGGUCUGUAACUGACGCUGAGGCUCGAAAGCAUGGGUAGCGAACAGGAUUAGAUACCCUGGUAGUCCAUGCCGUAAACGAUGAAUGCUAGGUGUUGGAGGGUUUCCGCCCUUCAGUGCCGCAGCUAACGCAUUAAGCAUUCCGCCUGGGGAGUACGACCGCAAGGUUGAAACUCAAAGGAAUUGACGGGGGCCCGCACAAGCGGUGGAGCAUGUGGUUUAAUUCGAAGCAACGCGAAGAACCUUACCAGGUCUUGACAUCUUUUGAUCACCUGAGAGAUCAGGUUUCCCCUUCGGGGGCAAAAUGACAGGUGGUGCAUGGUUGUCGUCAGCUCGUGUCGUGAGAUGUUGG
rnacentral:rRNA from 2 species